UACGAAGGGGGCUAGCGUUGUUCGGAAUUACUGGGCGUAAAGCGCACGUAGGCGGAUUGUUAAGUCAGGGGUGAAAUCCCGGGGCUCAACCCCGGAACUGCCUUUGAUACUGGCAUUCUCGAGUCCGGAAGAGGUGAGUGGAAUUCCGAGUGUAGAGGUGAAAUUCGUAGAUAUUCGGAGGAACACCAGUGGCGAAGGCGGCUCACUGGUCCGGUACUGACGCUGAGGUGCGAAAGCGUGGGGAGCAAACAGG
rnacentral:rRNA from 1 species